rnacentral:rRNA from 1 species
UACGGAGGGUGCAAGCGUUGUCCGGAUUUAUUGGGUUUAAAGGGUGCGUAGGCGGCCCGAUAAGUCAGCGGUGAAAGCCUCCAGCUCAACUGGAGAACUGCCAUUGAUACUGUCGGGCUUGAGUACAGACGAGGUAGGCGGAAUUGAUUGUGUAGCGGUGAAAUGCAUAGAUACAAUCAAGAACUCCGAUUGCGUAGGCAGCUUACUAGGCUGUAACUGACGCUGAGGCACGAAAAGCGUGGGGAGCGAACAGG